rnacentral:lncRNA from 1 species
AAUCCAACCUGGAGAUGUUCCAUGAAGGAAAUUCUGGAAAUUAUGGUUCUGACUUCUUUGCAAUGUAGAGGACACCACGGAAGGGGAUGACAAGGACUUUGAGUGAUAUUUCCCAAAACAUGUUCUCCAAGCUGUUAAUAUUCUAUGUAAAUGAAAGAAAAAGGAAGAAAGAAAAAGAAAGGAAGAAAAGAAGGAGGAAGAAAAAGAAGGGAGGGAGAAAAAAGGAAAGAAAAAGAAAAGACAAACUCGUGAGUUUGGAAAGCACUUUCAUUACAGAAAGAUUUAUCUGACUAUUAUGUUAAUAUCCAUGUGACAGUAAUAAAGAAAUCAUCUAUUGGAGAUAAAUAUAGAAUAGUUUCAAAACUUGCUUUCUCUAAAUCAGAGUGUCUGGGUUUAAGUGACCUUUCCCAAUGUUCUAUGUUCUUUGUCAAAUGACUUCGUCUCUCUGAUUUUAGUUCCCUGAUCUGCAAAAUAAGAUAAUGAUUAUGACCUCUGAAAUGGCCUGCAAUUAUCCUCUCACACUGUGUUCACACACUUGGUAGUCUCUUCCCCCAUGAGAAAGGACCGACUUUUAUAGCCCAUAGGAUGUUGCAGAGUUGUAUUCAAAGCUGAGUCAUGAAAGACACUGUAUCUCUUCCUUGCUCUCUCUUGGAUAACUUGUUCUGGAGGAAGCCAACUGCCAUGUCAUGAGGAUCCUCAAAGAGCCCAUUAGAAUGCCUACGUAGAGAAAAAGCCUUCAACUAAUAACCAGCACCAACAUGGCAGCCAUGUGAGCAAGCCAACUGGGAAGUGCACCCUGAGGACAUAAUCAAGCUCUCAGAGUACUUCAGCUAAGGCUGAUGACUUGACUGCAACUAACUGAGACAUGUUGAGCCUGAACUCCCAGUCAAGAUGCUACCAAACUCUUGGCCCAUAGAAAAGCAUGAGCCCAUAGAGAAGCCAUCCACUUUACCAGGCAUGAGUGGAAGAAACAGCAACGAAUCCUAAUACUUGCAGGAAAACUGAGUGUGUUGGAGUUUUUUAAAGAAAAAAUUCUCAGAGUUCCACAGUUGCAUUGAAAACUAAUAGACCACAGGCCGGGCACAGUGGCUCACGCGUGUAAUCCCAGCACUUUGGGAGGCCGAGGUGAGUGGAUCACAAGAGAUGAAGUCUUGCUCUGUCACCAGGCUGGAGUGCAGUGGUGUGAUCUCGGCUCAAUGCAACCUCCGCCUCCCAGGUUCAAGUGAUUCCCCUGCCUCAGUGUCCUGUGUAGCUGGGACUACAGGAGUGUGCCACCACACCCAACUAUUUUUUUUAUUGUAUUUUAGUAGAGACAGGGUUUCACCAUGUUGGCCAGAAUGGUCUCAAUCUCCUGACCUCGUGAUCCACCCACCUUGGCCUCUCAAAAUGCUGGGAUUACAGGCAUGAGCCACUGUGCCUGGCUGUGUAAUCUUAUGGGUGAAUAGCGACUGAUAUGAACAGAAUAUCUUUGAAAUUUGUAAGCCAAACUUGCAACUUUGAGGGAGAUAAAGAAACAAUUUACCAAACAAUAUGGAAAACACUGAAAUCCCCAAAGAAAGGGAAAAUUAAAUGUGGCUUUUACUAGGAAUUUACCAUAUUAACAUCCUACCUGGCACAUGAUAAGUGCCCAAUGAAUGAUAACCAAAAGAAAAAAACCAUAAUGUUAAGUGUGGUUACUGGCU